GACGAACGCUGGCGGCGUGCUUAACACAUGCAAGUCGAACGGAAAGGCCCUGCUUUUGUGGGGUGCUCGAGUGGCGAACGGGUGAGUAACACGUGAGUAACCUGCCCUUGACUUUGGGAUAACUUCAGGAAACUGGGGCUAAUACCGGAUAGGAGCUCCUGCUGCAUGGUGGGGGUUGGAAAGUUUCGGCGGUUGGGGAUGGACUCGCGGCUUAUCAGCUUGUUGGUGGGGUAGUGGCUUACCAAGGCUUUGACGGGUAGCCGGCCUGAGAGGGUGACCGGGCACAUUGGGACUGAGAUACGGCCCAGACUCCUACGGGAGGCAGCAGUGGGGAAUAUUGCACAAUGGGCGGAAGCCUGAUGCAGCAACGCCGCGUGCGGGAUGACGGCCUUCGGGUCGUAAACCGCUUUCGCCUGUGACGAAGCGUGAGUGACGGUAAUGGGUAAAGAAGCACCGGCUAACUACGUG
rnacentral:rRNA from 1 species